UGCUGAUGCCUUUGAAGGAAAGGAUGGGUUAUGAGAAAAAUCCUAAAAGCGCUUAUAGGAUGCAAGAGAAGAGAACAUGGUCGGGGGCUGAAAAGACAGUUUGGCUUCUCUCUGCAGGCCUAUUCACUCUGAAAAGUGGCCAGUUGACUGCUUGUGAGAAAUAGGUGAUGUGAGGUCAGGUCAAAGGUUACUGUGGGGUUGAAGAUGACUGACUCACAUAUUUCCAGCCCAGAGUGGUCUUGCAGUUCUCACAGUGGAUGUCAGCGACAGCAUGGAGGCCUGUCAGCAGCACCCGCUCCUCGGCUGGCCCGCAGCCCACAUUCACCCUGCGGGGACAUGGGCAGUCCCAGAAAAGAGCCAGCAGCCUCGCCAGGGACCAGAGACGUUUUAGUUUUGACUCAGUGAGGAGGCCUCAGGUUGCAUCAGCGGGGAAACUGAGUCUAGGAGGAGCUCAAGGAACAGACUUAGUUCAUCUCUUAAAAGGGAAGAGCCAAAGUUGCCAUUGCUGUUGGACUCCUGGGAGCACAGGCCCUGGAAGAAGCCAGUUCCUAUCACAUGAACUUCACCUCCUCCAAGGAGUCUCUUGGCAUGUCCCCUACCCCUCAGACUGGGUUAGGUUCGCCUCUAGUGAAUAUGUCUGUUUAAGCCACGUGUCUGUCUGGCUUUGACUUGUUCACUGCUGUGGUCCCUGUCUCCAGCCCUGCUUAGAGUAGGCACUCAGUAUUUGUGCAGUGGGAUUCUUCAUUGAGUCAAUAAGGUUUCAGGACUGGAGGAGACCUGGGAGUGGGGAGUUGGGAUGGUGGAAGUACAGAUAGAACUAUGAACUCACCCAGCUUGUUGAGGCCCACUGGGGCAAACGUGGGGGAAGUCAAGUUCCUCAAGUGUGCUUAGGGCUCUCAAAGGACUUAGGAGAAUAGAACCAUUAUCCAUGACUCUCAAGAGGCCAGGGGCCAGGGCACCUGAGUUGGCCCUGUAAGGGACAUUCUUGAGAGUGGAGACCAAGCUGGCAUUGGGUGUGGCAUUACUUUGGAUCUGGAAUGUAGUGGAACCAGUGGCCCCGGCUGGUUAGGGCCCCAGGCCCGGGCCCCAGGCCCUGGGCCCUAUCUGCCAUCUUGAUGGUCUUCCAGGAGUCAUCCUUCACCCCUCACUCCAUGGACAAUUAUGUGACUGAAAAGUAAAUAUUUAUUUUUCAGGAAGAGAAACAGAGGAGAAGGCCUCAGACUUAGGAGGCUGUAGCCACAGGUCCAUGGUUGUCCAGGUAGCGCCUCAGGGCUGUGGGGUAAUCUGUUAUAACACCAGUAGCCCCCAGGUUGAAGGCCACUUCAAAAUCUGACUCUUCAUUAAGGCACCAAAAUACUACCUGAAUAUGGAGGGAAGGGUUUGUUAGUUUCCAAAUAACUUUAUCCAGAAUUUCCCCUUCUGCCCCACACUCGCCUUAUACCCUACUGAUAACCUGGUCUAUGGUGGGAGCUUCCUCCUCCUCUGCAGAGACCGCCCAACAGUGGUAUGCUGAAGCUGAUUCAUUUCAAGAAUUUUGCAAACUGGUAUUAAGUACAGCCAUUGUUAAAAGUUAAACUGUAUAAACUCACAAUU